rnacentral:rRNA from 1 species
UGGGGAAUAUUGCACAAUGGGCGCAAGCCUGAUGCAGCCAUGCCGCGUGUAUGAAGAAGGCCUUCGGGUUGUAAAGUACUUUCAGCGAGGAGGAAGGCGGUAAGGUUAAUAACCUUAUCGAUUGAUGUUACUCGCAGAAGAAGCACCGGCUAACUCCGUGCCAGCAGCCGCGGUAAUACGGAGGGUGCAAGCGUUAAUCGGAAUUACUGGGCGUAAAGCGCACGCAGGCGGUCUGUCAAGUCGGAUGUGAAAUCCCCGGGCUCAACCUGGGAACUGCAUUCGAAACUGGCAGGCUAGAGUCUUGUAGAGGGGGGUAGAAUUCCAGGUGUAGCGGUGAAAUGCGUAGAGAUCUGGAGGAAUACCGGUGGCGAAGGCGGCCCCCUGGACAAAGACUGACGCUCAGGUGCGAAAGCGUGGGGAGCAAACA